GAUGAACGCUAGCUACAGGCUUAACACAUGCAAGUCGAGGGGCAGCAUGGUCUUAGCUUGCUAAGGCCGAUGGCGACCGGCGCACGGGUGAGUAACACGUAUCCAACCUGCCGUCUACUCUUGGACAGCCUUCUGAAAGGAAGAUUAAUACAAGAUGGCAUCAUGAGUCCGCAUGUUCACAUGAUUAAAGGUAUUCCGGUAGACGAUGGGGAUGCGUUCCAUUAGAUAGUAGGCGGGGUAACGGCCCACCUAGUCUUCGAUGGAUAGGGGUUCUGAGAGGAAGGUCCCCCACAUUGGAACUGAGACACGGUCCAAACUCCUACGGGAGGCAGCAGUGAGGAAUAUUGGUCAAUGGGCGCAGGCCUGAACCAGCCAAGUAGCGUGAAGGAUGACUGCCCUAUGGGUUGUAAACUUCUUUUAUAAAGGAAUAAAGUCGGGUAUGGAUACCCGUUUGCAUGUACUUUAUGAAUAAGGAUCGGCUAACUCCGUGCCAGCAGCCGCGGUAAUACGGAGGAUCCGAGCGCUAUCCGGAUUUAUUGGGUUUAAAGGGAGCGUAGAUGGAUGUUUAAGUCAGUUGUGAAAGUUUGCAGCUCAACCGUAAAAUUGCAGUUGAUACUGGAUAUCUUGAGUGCAGUUGAGGCAGGCGGAAUUCGUGGUGUAGCGGUGCAAUGCUUAGAUAUCACGAAGAACUCCGAUUGCGAAGGCAGCCUGCUAAGCUGCAACUGACAUUGAGGCUCGAAAGUGUGGGUAUCAAACAGGAUUAGAUACCCUGGUAGUCCACACGGUAAACGAUGAAUACUCGCUGUUUGCGAUAUACGGCAAGCGGCCAAGCGAAAGCGUUAAGUAUUCCACCUGGGGAGUACGCCGGCAACGGUGAAACUCAAAGGAAUUGACGGGGGCCCGCACAAGCGGAGGAACAUGUGGUUUAAUUCGAUGAUACGCGAGGAACCUUACCCGGGCUUAAAUUGCAGAUGAAUUACGGUGAAAGCCGUAAGCCGCAAGGCAUCUGUGAAGGUGCUGCAUGGUUGUCGUCAGCUCGUGCCGUGAGGUGUCGGCUUAAGUGCCAUAACGAGCGCAACCCUUGUUGUCAGUUACUAACAGGUUCCGCUGAGGACUCUGACAAGACUGCCAUCGUAAGAUGUGAGGAAGGUGGGGAUGACGUCAAAUCAGCACGGCCCUUACGUCCGGGGCUACACACGUGUUACAGUGGGGGGUACAGAGGGCCGCUACCACGCGAGUGGAUGCCAAUCCCCAAAACCUCUCUCAGUUCGGACUGGAGUCUGCAACCCGACUCCACGAAGCUGGAUUCGCUAGUAAUCGCGCAUCAGCCACGGCGCGGUGAAUACGUUCCCGGGCCUUGUACACACCGCCCGUCAAGCCAUGGGAGCCGGGGGUACCAGAAGUGCGUAACCGCGAGGAGCGCCCUAGGGUA
rnacentral:rRNA from 1 species